UACGUAGGGGGCAAGCGUUGUCCGGAAUCAUUGGGCGUAAAGCGCGCGUAGGCGGCCCUGUAAGUCCGCUGUGAAAGUCAAAGGCUCAACCUUUGAAAGCCGGUGGAUACUGCAGGGCUAGAGUCCGGAAGAGGCGAGUGGAAUUCCUGGUGUAGCGGUGGAAUGCGCAGAUAUCAGGAGGAACACCAAUAGCGAAGGCAGCUCGCUGGGACGGUACUGACGCUAAGGCGCGAAAGCGUGGGGAGCGAACAGG
rnacentral:rRNA from 1 species